rnacentral:ncRNA from 1 species
UCACAUCGGGCGCACUUCGGUUCCGCCCUCGGGCGGAUGAAAAGGGAACCCGGUGCGGCGCAAGCUCACUCCGGGGCUGCCCCCGCAACUGUAAGCGGUGAGUGAUGGCUGUUUUCGCCACUGGGAGAGAUCCUGGGAAGGCCAGCCAAAGCUGAGAUCCGCGAGCCAGGAGACCUGCCGAGGCGCUCAUCCUUUC